UAAAGAAAGACUUAUCAAAAUGCUCAUUGCUCACAAAGGAGACCAAAACAAAAUAUGAGAUAAAGAUCUCGAAGCACUGUUUCACGAUUUGAGAAGUUGGGUUCGAUCCAAAGCAGGUUUCGCGCUUUCACAACGCUCACUAGGCAAUUGAGUGGACAUCUUGUGGCUCUCUGGACAACUGAUC
rnacentral:lncRNA from 1 species